AUUGAACGCUGGCGGCAUGCCUUACACAUGCAAGUCGAACGGCAGCACGGGGGCAACCCUGGUGGCGAGUGGCGAACGGGUGAGUAAUACAUCGGAAUGUACCCAGUAGCGGGGGAUAACUACUCGAAAGAGUUGCUAAUACCGCAUACGCCCUAAGGGGGAAAGAGGGGGAUCGCAAGACCUCUCACUAUUGGAGCAGCCGAUGUCAGAUUAGCUUGUUGGUGAGGUAAAAGCUCACCAAGGCGACGAUCUGUACCUGGUCUGAGAGGACGACCAGGCACACUGGGACUGAGACACGGCCCAGACUCCUACGGGAGGCAGCAGUGGGGAAUUUUGGACAAUGGGGGCAACCCUGAUCCAGCAAUGCCGCGUGAGUGAAGAAGGCCUUCGGGUUGUAAGGCUCUUUUGUCAGGGAAGAAACGGUGACCACUAAUACUGGUUACUAAUGACGGUACCUGAAGAAUAAGCACCGGCUAACUACGUGCCAGCCGCCGCAGUAACAC
rnacentral:rRNA from 1 species